CCGUGUUGACCAGGAUGGUCUUGAUCUCUUAACCUCGUGAUCCACCUGCCUCGGCCUCCCAAAAUGCUAGGAUUACAGGCGUGAGCCACCGCACCUGGCCCUAAAAGUAGCCUUCUUUUCCCUUUUAAAGAGUUAGUGUCCAUAGCUACUGGAUGCCAUUUUGGUUCAGGUGGACCGUGAAUAGGUUUCACUCAUCAUGCCCAAAGGUUGCCACUCCUGACAAGUCACAGACAACGCUUGCACCAUCAUCUUCUUCCUUCAGAGUCUGUGGUCCCCUGGAUGUCACUAAGGUCCUGCUUCCUGUACCAAUAGGUUUUAAACACUACCCAAGGCAGGCUGGCUUUAAAUAUCCUACUUAAUCUGGCUGACAGGCUCUCCCUGCACCUCUGGUACUCUGCUGCCUCAUUAACAGCUCCGGCUACUCAGUUAAGGUUGGCAUAGUGUCCAUCUCUCCAGGUCAAAGGCCAGCAGCCUCUGCCUUGUACAGGAGUGUUCUCACUCCUGCUACCCACUUCUGUCUCUACUGAAAGGCAGGAGGAGACUGUGGCAUCAUUGGGAUAGUACAUUUCAUCUAAAAGCCUGGUCACUAGAUGUGAGUUGUAGAAACUGCUUCUCUCAUCCCUCAACAAUUUCACAGUUGUAGGAGCUGACAUUAACCUGCCAUGCCCCCAACAGCUAGGCGCGGUGGCUCAUGCCUGUAAUCCCAGAACUUUGGGAGGCCAAGGCAGGUGGAUCACCUGAGGUAAGGAGUUCGAGACCAGCCUGGCCAACAUGGAGAAACCCCCGUCUCUACUAAAAAUAUAAAAAUUAGGCAUAGUGGCACACACCUGUAAUCCCAGCUACUCAGGAGGCUGAGGCAGAAUUGCUUGAACCCAGGAGGCGGAGGUUGCAGUGAGCUGAGAUUGCGCCACUGCACUCCAGCCUGGGUGACAGAGCAAGACUCAGUCUCAAAAAAAAAAAAAACAAAAAAAAAACAAAUCCUGCUGUGUCCCCAACAGCCUCACCAAUGAGAAUUUCCACCUCAACUCCUCCUAUUCCUUCCCCCACCUGCCCUCCCCACCUUAAUCUCUGGAGAAGGAAUAUGUUUUGAGAUAACUGGGAAAGUCUUGCCCUGUGGUACAAUCCAUUAAAGGUUCUUUACAAAUGACCAGGGAAGCUGUUCUGUUUUUUUGUUUUUGUUUUGUUUUGUGUUUUGUUUCUUAAAGACAAGGUCUUGCUCUGUCACCCAGGGUGGAGUGCAGUGGUGGGUCUAUAGUUCACUGAGGCCUCAAACUCCUAGGCUCAAGGGAUUCUCCUGCCUCACCCUCCCCAGUAGCUGGAACUACAGGUGUGCGUCACCAUGCCUGACUCUGGCUGUGUUUUGUUUUGUUUUGUUUUUGUAGAGACAGUGAUCUUGCUAUGCUGCCCAGGCUGGUCUCAACCUUAUGGGCUCAAGUGAUCCUCCCACCUCAGCCUCCCAAAGUGCUAGGAUUACCUGCGUGAGCUAUAGCGCCCUGCCUGUUCUGGGCUUCUUGCAGAGCCUCUUCAGCUGCAGAGAAGCAGCUCUCCUUUCUCCAAGUCCAGAGCCAACAGGACGAAUAAUGAAGCUGUUGGGAAGAUUUACUGAUAAUACAUGUAAAGGGUCUAGCACAUUUUAGGAGCUCAAGGUUGGUGCCUUCCCUUUUUCUUUACUCUGAACCGGAUAUGAGGCCUUGAGAAAGAAGAGAGGCGCUUGCAAAACGAGGUGAGGUCUCAGGCACAGUGGCUCACGCCUGUAAUCCCAGCACUUUAGGAGACCGAGGCGGGCGGAUCAUGAGGUCAGGAGUUCGAGACCAGCCUGGCCAACAUGGUGAAAGCCCGUCUCUACUAAAAAUACAAAAAUUAGACGGGCAUGGUGGUGGGCACCUGUAAUCCCGGCUACUUGGGAGGUUGAGGGAGGAGAAUCGCUUGAACCCAGGAGGUGGAGGUUGCAGUGAGCCGAGACUGCACCAUUGCACUCCAGCCUGGGCAAUAGAGCGAGACUCCGUCUCAAGCAAGCAAGCAAGCAAACAAACAAAAUAAAAAACGAGGUCAAGUUUCAAAAGAUGUCACCCCCAACCUGGCAAAACUUCUCCUCAAGCCCUGUCGUUCCACUCUUGUCCGCCAGGAGGAGAAAAGGUUCCCUCGAAGGACGUCUUUGCUUGCGCGUUCACGGAGCCUUGAGAACGAGUGGCCGAGGGGACCCCUGCGGCCCUGCGCGCCUGAGGGAGGACCUGACUCCUUUCAGAAUUAGCAUUUCUUCCCCUUCGUGGGUGCUCUUGAGUUCCAAAGAAAAGGAAGAGAAGCCUUCAUUGAGCAGCUUCUUCUGCCUUAGGGACUGUGCUAGGGGGUAGAUCGACCUUAGGGGAAACAAUCCCCGCUUAUUAGAGGAGGUUUUGGAUCAGGGUUUGCUUUAUUUGAAAUUUAACAAAUACAGAAAAGCAGAAGGAAGAAAAUUGAAGUAAUCCAUGUUUCCACUGGGCGCGGCGGCUCACGCCUAUAAUCCCAGCACUUUGGGAGGCCAAGGCGGGCGGAUCACGAGGUCAGGAGUUCGAGACCAGCCUGACCAACAUGGUGAAACCCCCCGUCUCUACUAAAAUUACAAAAUUAGCCGGUCGUGGUGGCACACGCCUGUAAUCCCAGCUACUCAGGAGGCUGAGGCAGGAGAAUCGCUUGAACCCGGGAGGCAGAGGUUGCAGUGAGCCGAGAUUGCACCACUGCACUCCAGCCUGAGCAACAGAGUGAGACUCCGUUGUCUUUAAAGGCCAAUCCCAUAGCAAAUGACAGAGACUCACUUGAGUAAGAAAGGUUUUUGACAAGAAAACCCACAGAAGAAGAGAUAAGCUGUGGAUAUAAGAAAGGCACUACAAUCUGUAUUUAAAUCUAAUUGCACACUAGAUAAUAUAUGUAUGAAAAAUUAUUUAAUCCAGUUUCCUGAUUUCAUUAUAUAUUUCUUAUAAGGUUUUCAUUAGGCUUUUGUUUUUGUUUUUGGUUUUAAAUAAAAACACUUUAUUGCA
rnacentral:lncRNA from 10 species